rnacentral:misc_RNA from 1 species
UACGGAGGGUGCGAGCGUUAAUCGGAAUUACUGGGCGUAAAGUGCGCGUAGGCGGCUGGGUAAGUCGGAUGUGAAAGCCCUGGGCUCAACCUGGGAAUUGCAUUCGAUACUGCUUGGCUAGAGUACAGUAGAGGAGAGUGGAAUUUCCGGUGUAGCGGUGAAAUGCGUAGAUAUCGGAAGGAACACCAGUGGCGAAGGCGACUCUCUGGACUGAUACUGACGCUGACAGCGCGAAAGCGUGGGGAGCAAACAGG